rnacentral:rRNA from 1 species
GAUGAACGCUAGCGGCAGGCCUAAUACAUGCAAGUCGAACGGUGUAGCAAUACACAGUGGCGCACGGGUGCGUAACACGUAUGCAACCUACCUUACAUUGGGGGAUAGCCUUUCGAAAGGGAGAUUAAUACCGCAUAAGACAGUAACUAGGCAUCUAGUAGCUGGUAAAGAUUUAUCGAUGUAAGCUGGGUAUGCGUCCAAUUAGUUAGUUGGCGAGGUAAUGGCUCACCAAGACGAUGAUUGGUAGGGGAACUGAGAGGUCAAUCCCCCACACUGGCACUGAGAUACGGGCCAGACUCCUACGGGAGGCAGCAGUAGGGAAUAUUGGGCAAUGGGCGCAAGCCUGACCCAGCCAUGCCGCGUGCAGGAAGAAGGCGUUAUGCGUUGUAAACUGCUUUUAUACAGGAAGAAACGACCCUUGCGAGGGGCAUUGACGGUACUGUAUGAAUAAGCACCGGCUAACUCNGUGCCAGCCGCCGCGGUAAGAC